UCUUCCGUAGUAUAGUGGUCAGUAUGUGAGCUUGUCAUUCUUCAAUCAAGAAUUACUCGCUCGAGACCCGGGUUCAAUUCCCGGCGGGAGAG